rnacentral:rRNA from 1 species
AUUGAACGCUGGCGGCAUGCUUUACACAUGCAAGUCGAACGGCAGCACGGGUGCUUGCACCUGGUGGCGAGUGGCGGACGGGUGAGUAAUACAUCGGAACGUGUCCAGAAGACGGGGAUAACGCAUCGAAAGAUGUGCUAAUACCGCAUAUACUCUAAGGAGGAAAGCAGGGGAUCGAAAGACCUUGCGCUUUUGGAGCGGCCGAUGUCUGAUUAGCUAGUUGGUGGGGUAAGGGCCUACCAAGGCGACGAUCAGUAGUUGGUCUGAGAGGACGACCAGCCACACUGGGACUGAGACACGGCCCAGACUCCUACGGGAGGCGGCAGUGGGGAAUCUUAGACAAUGGGCGCAAGCCUGAUCUAGCCAUGCCGCGUGGACGAUGAAGGCCUUAGGGUUGUAAAGUCCUUUCAGAUGGGAAGAUAAUGACGGUACCAUCAGAAGAAGCCCCGGCUAACUCCGUGCCAGCAGCCGCGGUAAUGUAGACGU